UACGUAGGGGGCUAGCGUUGUCCGGAAUCAUUGGGCGUAAAGAGCGUGUAGGCGGCCAGAUAAGUCCGCUGUGAAAUCUCGAGGCUCAACUUCGAGCUGUCGGUGGAAACUAUCUGGCUAGAGUCCGGAAGAGGAGAAUGGAAUUCCUGGUGUAGCGGUGAAAUGCGCAGAUAUCGGAAGGAACAUCAGUGGCGAAAGCGACUUCCUGGACCAAUACUGACGCUCAUGUGCGAAAGCGUGGGGAGCAAACAGG
rnacentral:rRNA from 1 species